GCUUCGGUAGCUCAGCUGGUAGAGCGGUAGGCUGGAAAUCUGCGGUCGCGGGUUCAAAUCCCGCCUGAGGCA